GGAGUCUGGGCCGUAUCUCAGUCCCAAUGUGGCCGUUCAACCUCUCAGUCCGGCUACUGAUCGUCGACUUGGUGGGCCGUUACCCCACCAACUAUCUAAUCAGACGCGAGCCCAUCUUUCAGCGAUAAAUCUUUGGCAAUCAGAUCAUGCGGUCCGAUUGCUUCAUGCGGUAUUAGCGGUCGUUUCCAACCGUUGUCCCCCUCUGAAAGGCAGGUUGCUCACGCGUUACUCACCCGUUCGCCACUAACUCGGGGAGCAAGCUCCCCUCGUCCGUUCGACUUGCAUGUGUUAGGCACGCCGCCAGCGUUCGUC
rnacentral:rRNA from 1 species